GUCCACUUAGCUCAGUGGUUAGAGCUGCCCGACGCACGGUUCACAGGUACGGGAGACCCUGGAUUCGAUUCCCCGGAGUGGAAA